UUUCUAAUUUGUUGUUGAAACCUCUUAUACCUGUUGCAUCACCAAACUAUGUGUGCUUACUCUUCAUGCAUCCUCCUUCUGAAAAAUGUGUCUUGGGAGGUUCAAUCUGUAUUUUCAUCCAGCUUACAGCCAGGAUCCCCGUCACCUCGACACAAGACUGGACCUCUGGUCUUUGUCAUAACAGGAAGGAAUUAUGAGGAAAUUCAACAAUGAGGUAGCUGGCUAUGAUGCUGCCUAGAGUUCCAUAGUGAAAGGUGCCACAUUGGCCCCAACAGAUCUACCCUCUUGGGGACAGUGAAUGAGAAACUCACCAGGGAGAGAGGAAAGGAGGAAGAGGUAUGUUUGGUCUGGGGGACAAGAUGGCUAAACCACACGGAAGAUAAUAGAUGCUCAGUUUGUUGGAGCCAAAGAAGCCAUGAGUUCUCAGAGUUUGUCAUGGGUGACGAUGUUCAAGAUGCUGGAAUUUGUUCUUAUCUGAGGCGUGGGAUCGGUCCUCCUCAGUCCUCAUCAAUCUUCAUCUGGCUUUUAUUUUUGUCAUAAAUCUCAAAUUAAGAUGCCCUCGCAUGUGCUCACAAAUGGAUAUCUGGUGUGAGUGGACCUGACUGGACCUUUUGGAGUAAGAUUCUGGCAUCCACAGGGGGAAAAACACAGCACUGAGCAACUGUAGCAGAACGAGGGAAGGAAGCAUCUGCAUCCCCAGAAGGUCAAGAAAUUUCAUGCAGAUACGGGAGAGCAUGAACCUGAGGGUGGAAGCGUCAACUGAAUUUCAAAGGCCUCCUGGCAAGUACACGGAAAGCGAUGCUCAGCAGAAUGACCCUAAUGCUUCCGACUUAAAUGUCCAAAGUACUACAGGAGGAGAAGCUUCUAGUUCCAGCACACACAACUGUGCCUGUGGGUCCUGCCGAUUGCAUCCUAAGGAACUUUCAUCACAGGGUCUGACUCUCAGGGACGCACCCAACCACAUAGUACGGUAUGUUACAGAAUAAAAAAAAAAAAAAAAAGACUAAUUUCGGAACCAGAAUAAGGAUUUGAUGUGUACUAAGCAGGAAUGUUGGUCCUCAAGAGUCAUUCCCAAAGACUUCAUUAAGCUGUUGGAUCAGGGUUUUCUGACUUUCUGCCUCCAAAGUGAUUUGGUAGACAGGGGUCACAGAAGCCUCUUCUCACCUCAUUUCAUCCCCAAGUUCUGCCACCCACCCAGAGACUUUGCUGGAAGUUCGUGCUAUUUUUGUCCUAUCUGGUUAAUGCCAAAGAACAAUGCUGUGGUCCCACCACUGAAGCUCUCAAGAGCAUCUGCUAAGUUACUUUUAUAUUCUUCAUUUCCUGUUAUUUCCUGUAAUGCCUUGCAACUUCCCAAGGUCAUCCAAUUUGGAAUUCCUGACAUGUUUUCUGAUAUUUGCCCAUUCCCUGAACAGGAGACGUUUGGCUCCUGUCUCUUAAAAGCAAACUGAUGGCUGAUUGCUGAUUUAAUAUGCCUCCCAACUCCUCACCUUCCCCAGGGAAAUCCGGAGUUAUCAAUGGGGAUUGUUCCAUCACGUCUCAUCAAUAGCUUGCCACUACACAUUUUAAAAAGGAGCAUUCUGGACAUUUUAAUAUCUGUAAACAUGUGAAACAAGCUCUUAAGAAUUGGAUUCCUGCGUAUCAGCUUGUGAUGCAAGCUUAGGAAAUUUGUUCAAAAUACUUGAGGUCGGAAUUAGAUUAUGCUCUUUUCCUGUUACCCUUUUACGCCCUUCGUUCUAAGAGUAUGGUGUUCCUUUCGAUACAAACAUUUUAUCAAUCAUUUGCUAACUUCACAUGGCAGCCAUUGGUCGUGGGUGUUGGAUAGUAUUAGAAGAAUCUAAGAAGAGCUGAAUUCCCUUUGCUCCUUAAGCAUGGCUUUUUCCACAGGGUUCUCAAGGGAAUAAGACAAACGAUAAACUAGCUAUCAUUUUGUUACAAAUUGUCCCAGGGCUCCACUUCUCCAUAAUGAAGCACUCUGGAAAAACUCAGAAGCCACCCCUCCGCACCCCAGCUGGAGGCAUCUGAAUGGGGAAGAGGAGAGAGUCAGAGGACAAGGUGGCGAGGUCUGUUCAAGGACUCAGGCUCUGCCUCAACUGACCCAGCUAGCUGCAAGAAUAAAGGAAACAGGGGACCAACUUGGUGUGGUGGAUUAGGUUAAGCAGACCAGGAGAAGUGAAGAUUGGGACUUAAUCAUGGACUGUCAAGUUGUGGUUGGAGUGAGCUCAGAUGCAAGGUGAAGAGAAAAUUCAAGUUUGGCAGGUAGAACAAAGUAUCUGGGGAAAAUGACAGUAGAUAACAGUGUUAGCUAUAGAAAAUUGUCGGUAAGACAUAGAGGAGGUUACACAAUGCACAAAAGUGUGCCACGAAGUGGAUUAGAGCCCAGCGAUAGGGAUCCAUGAGCAGACUAUAUUUGAAGAUUGAGGCGAUCAGACGCUGAAAUCCAUAAAGUGGAGUAUCAAGUUCCAAUUCCAUUCUUAAGGUAUCAGAACAGGACUCUGAUCCCAGAGAGAGUUCCAUCAAGCCCUUUACUGGUUCUUGGUCAUCCUCUAUUCCGUUCCCCUCAAAAAUGAUUCCAAAAGUCACUGCGCAUUUCCAUUUGCAAAUCAUAGAAGACUUCCUGCCUCUUAUUUUAUUGAGAAAUUUCAAGUCAAGGUUCUUUCUUUAUUGGUUCCCUUCCUGCAGCCAAAAGAAGCAUGCAAAUCUCCCUGAUACUAACCAAAAACAAUAAAACUUUCCUUUACAUUGUAAAACCACUAGGAACUGUCCAACAUCUUUACUCCACACAGAAGUCAGAACCCAGCAUUUCCCUUUUUCAUGCUAAUUUACUCUGAGAUGAAGCUCAUUUCCUGAAGCUUGAUAUAACUCCCAGUGAGGUCACCAACGACAUCCUAUUUUACUACAAAAGCUGUCUGAGUCCUUUCAUCUGGGGUCUGUCUCUUAUACCCAACAGGACACCAUGGUCCGUACUAUCUUUACCAAGCUCUUUCAGCCUUUGGCUUUCAUUGUAUCCCUCCACCCUGGUGCUCUUCCUUCUGAGAAAGCUCCUUCAUGCUUUGCUUUUGGAUCACUGCUCUUUUCACUCCACAAGUCCCAUCUGAAUGAUCUGGUACAUGAUGGAAACUGAGACUUAUAUGCUUCUCAUGGCCACCUAGAACUCCCAGGCCAGAAGCUUCUGAUUCCUAGAACAAUCUGACUUCUCCACCUGGAUAUCCCCAGGCACAGCACCCUUAAUUGUCUACCACAUAAGAGCAGCAUCUUCUCUAAAUAUGUUUCUCAUGUACAUUUGCUCUCUUUGGUUACCAAGACCAUCCAGUCAAGCCCAUACUAGAAAGCAAAGCGUCAUCCAUGGUAGCUUUCUUUCAGUCCUCCUCCCGUUCAGUCAGACAUCACACCUAUCUGGCUGACUUCUGUGAUGUUUCUCUCUAUCUCUAUCUCCCUUCCCCUAUGCUAGUUCACACUAUCAUUAGCUUUCUUCGCGUUACUACAGUAGGCUCCUAUUUGGUCCCCCCUCUUCUCUUUAACCCUCCUUGAAACUUUCUUUCAUGGGGCUACCAGAGUAUUCUAUCUACAAACGCAAAAUUGACCGUGUCAUGGGCUGAAACCCUUUGAUGGUUUCUCCAUUGUCUUGAAUCUGAGGUGAAACUUGUCUCAUAUUACAUUCAAGACGGUCCAGGAGUUGGUCCCUGCCUUCUCGCCUUUCUAAUUCCCUCUUCUUGCAUUUCCAAAAAUGCCAGAUAGCAUGUAUUGCAUAAGCACACUACCCUCUUUUCCUUCUCUUUCCUUUUGGUAAUGUUAAGCCUUCUUCAUGGAAUACAUGUUUCCAUGUUUCCUGACUAAUCCCUAUUCCUCUUCAAAAGUCUUUUUCAAGCUAGCCUCUUUCAACAUGAUUUACCUGCCUCUUUCUGCCCUGAUAGUCCGGGUGACCUCACCCAGAGCUCCCUGAUAACCAUCCAACUUUUGACAUUGCAUUUGCUCCUGUCUCCCUAGAGGCCUCACACCUCUAGGUGCAUCCUCAACACCUUGCCCAGUACUUGGCACAUCCAAUGCCUCAUUAACAUCUUUGUCGAUUAAUGGAAUCAACUGUCUGAGGGGCUUUCCCUUACUUUCCACUACAGUGUCAGGACAGAGAAUGUCUUCUAUGCCUUAGAGAAACUAACAAAAAGUGAAUGUUUUCAGGGACUCGGUCCCAGAUCAGCACCUAGUAUGCACAGGACAUGACCUCACAAGUGCCAUGACAGCCAAGGCAAGAAAGAAGAAUUAUGCCUCAGGAAGCAGCUGCUCCAGGCAGCGACAUGCAUGUGGUUGCUGCCAGGGCUAAGGUACAUGGAAGUCAGGAAGGCUGAGGAAAGCCCACAAUAACCUAGAAGUGAAAACACACCUGGAUCAAAGGCUGCACUUCCCAACCUUCCUUGCAAAAAGGCCUGGUCAUGUGACUAAAUUCUGGUCAGCAGGAUUUUAGUGGAAACUGUGUGUUAAAUUUAUGUAAAGUGUCCUGAAAUGGAGUGUGUGCUCUCCCCUUUUCCUCCUUUCUUCUGGCUGCAAUGCGGACAUGUUGACCGGAACUGGGGCCACCAUCUUGGAUCAUAAACUAACCAUGAAUCCAGGCCACUGAAGGAAGAGCAAGGAGACAGAAAGUAAAGGUGCCCAGGACACUCAUCUAGUCCCAAAGAUGCUCCAAACGCUCUUCUGUACCCCUUCUGAACCUGAUGCUUUAUGGAAAAUGGAUCUUCCUCCUCGCUCCACUUUCCUCACCCCAGACUCAACUCAAAUUCAAAUAUCCUUACGUUCACUCAGGCCAGGCGAGCAGUCACUUGCAAAGCAAGCUCAUAAGUGGAUGCCCUUUGUAGUCCUGGUGGCUUCAUACAUUCCCUGGAGAGUGCCACGCUUCCGGAGCUCUUUGCCACUCAUUCUGUUUCCUUCUAGGGUUGGUUGAUGAUCUUAGUAAAAGGCCAUAUGCUAAGGAACGUAGUAAUUCCCUUAAGAAGAAUCAAGAAUUGAUGAAAGACUAUAACACAGGAAGCUUGGUACUCUUAAAGUCUAAUUCCUGGUGAAUAAAGAUGAAAGUGUAGAUGAACACAACAAGUUAGCUUUUCAGCGUCACCUUGAGUUUAUCACCUCAAAGUACUUUUGACUGAAGUAAUUGCAUAUUGUGCUCUG